UGCUGAUUAAAGAAAAAGUUCAGUUUAGGGUUUAAAAACCCUAAUGCUGAUUAAAGGAAAGAGUUCAGUUUAGGGUUUAAAAACCUAAUGCUGACUAAAGGGAAAAAGUUCAGUUUAGGGUUUAAAACCCUAAUGCUGACUAAAGGGAAAAAAGUUCAGUUUAGGGUUUAAAACCCUAAUGCUGACUAAAGGAAGAAAAAAAAGUUCAGUUUAGGGUUUAAAACCCUAAUGCUGACUGAAGGAAAAGAGUUCAGUUUAUGGUUUAAAACCCUAAUGCUGACUAAAGGAAAAAGAGUUCGGUUUAGGGUUUAAAACCCUAAUGCUGACUGAAGGAAAGAGUUCAGUUUAGGGUUUAAAACCCUAAUGCUGACUAAAUGAAAGAGUUCAGUUUAGGGUUUAAAACCCUAAUGCUGUCUAAAGGAAAAGUUUAGUUUAGGGUUUAAAAACCUAAUGCUGACUAAAGGAAAAGUUCAGUUUAGGGUUUAAAACCCUAAUGCUGUCUAAAGGAAAAGUUCAGUUUAGGGUUUAAAACCCUAAUGCUGACUAAAGGAAAAGUUCAGUUUAGGGUUUAAAACCCUAAUGCUGACUAAAGGAAAGAGUUCAGUCUAGGGUUUAAAACCCUAAUGCUGACUAAAGGAAAAAGUUCAGUUUAGGGUUUAAAACCCUAAUGCUGACUAAAGGAAAAAAGUUCAGUUUAGGGUUUAAAACCCUAAUGCUGACUAAAGGAAAAGAGUUCAGUUUAGGGUUUAAAACCCUAAUGCUGACUAAAGGAAAAAGUUCAGUUUAGGGUUUAAAACCCUAAUGCUGACUAAAGGAAAAGAGUUCAGUUUAGGGUUUAAAACCCGAAUGCUGACUAAAGGAAAAGAGCUCAGUUUAGGGUUUAAAACCCUAAUGCUGACUGAAGGAAAAAGUUCAGUUUAGGGUUUAAAACCCUAAUGCUAACUAAAGGAAAGAGUUCAGUUUAGGGUUUAAAACCCUAAUGCUGACUAAAGGAAAGAGUUCAGUUUAGGGUUUAAAACCCUAAUGCUGACUAAAGGAAAAGAGUUCAGUUUAGGGUUUAAAAACCCUAAU
rnacentral:lncRNA from 1 species